UACGUAGGGUGCGAGCGUUAAUCGGAAUUAUUGGGCGUAAAGCGCGCGCAGGCGGUCCUUUAAGUCUGAUGUGAAAGCCCACGGCUCAACCGUGGAGGGUCAUUGGAAACUGGGGGACUUGAGUGCAGAAGAGGAGAGUGGAAUUCCACGUGUAGCGGUGAAAUGCGUAGAGAUGUGGAGGAACACCAGUGGCGAAGGCGACUCUCUGGUCUGUAACUGACGCUGAGGCGCGAAAGCGUGGGGAGCGAACAGG
rnacentral:rRNA from 1 species